GCCAUCUUUGUUUUUAAAUGCAGGAUGGAGCUAGCGUUUUUGUCUAUUUACUGUCUUGAAUGCCAAGCUGAGAGUCUUUGUUGGACAAUAAUGUGUUAUUGGACUCGCACUCCCAUGACAAGAUGCUGAAAACUGCAGCCACACAAUGGGACACUUUCCAGGCCAUCGCUCUCGGAGCAGGAAUGCAGCUCAACUUGUCAGAUUUGCCUGGAGGACGUCAUGUUGCUAAAUGAGGCCCUUGCAGAGCAUUUGGAGAUGCGCACCGAAAACACUGCCAUCCAAAUCUCAUGUAUAAAUCCCACAACAGAAUCCACAGAGAGAUAAAGACACUCGGAAGAGAGUAAGUGGGCCAAGGAAAGUUGCCGGCUUUGCCCGAGGAUGGGACUUUUCCUGGUGGAGGCUGGAAUGCAAAGCUCCUGUCUGUGUUUUGUUGUCUUCUCUUUUUCUUUGGCACACUUUUGAUUUGUAGUCCAACAGCUCCUGGCUGAUCAGAUUAAAAAUGACAGGACCCCUGAAAAAUGUUCCAACCUGUUCUUUCUUUCUACCUCCCCACCUCCCCUCCACUCCGCUGUCUCUGCAGACUGUUGCAGAGAGUGCGGAGUUGGGACAAGGAGCCCCUGCAGUCACAAGUAUGGAGACAUGAGGGGGAAACUGAACAGGGUGUAAACUUGUGAACCUGCCUGUCAGGAGGAGAAAGGGAGCAGCGGUAGCUCUGCACAGACGUGCACCGGGGAGUACAAGGCUCAGACAAAUGCAUGUCAGACUGGAAACUUAUCUGUCUGUAGGUGGACACAAACACAGUCUGGGCUGUUGUCUUGAAAGGGCAGAGCCUGUUUCGCUGAGAGUCUUGAGGGACUGUGUGAAUGAACCACAGCUCAAACAGUGCAUUGUUCCAUGCCUCUGUUCAUAAGACGCAGCUUGCUGGCACCGCAAAUUACCAGCGGUAAUACAUAAUAUGCAAAACAUGGCUCAUAAUGGAUUGUUUGGAAUCUUCCACUGCAUGUCUGGAAUUUCUUUGUGGAAAUAUGUAACACCGCAUAGUGUCUUUGAAAGUAAUAAAAAAACUAAUUGC